rnacentral:rRNA from 1 species
CAGAACGACGCUGGCGGCAGGCUCAACACAUGCAAGUCGAGCCGCCCCGCAAAGGGGGAGCGGCAGACGGGUGAGUAACGCGUGGGAACGUGCCCUUUGGUUCGGAACAACUCCGGGAAACUGGAGCUAAUACCGGAUAAGCCCUUCGGGGGAAAGAUUUAUCGCCAAAGGAUCGGCCCGCGUCUGAUUAGCUAGUUGGUGAGGUAAUGGCUCACCAAGGCGACGAUCAGUAGCUGGUCUGAGAGGAUGAUCAGCCACACUGGGACUGAGACACGGCCCAGACUCCUACGGGAGGCAGCAGUGGGGAAUAUUGGACAAUGGGCGCAAGCCUGAUCCAGCCAUGCCGCGUGAGUGAUGAAGGCCUUAGGGUUGUAAAGCUCUUUUGUCCGGGAAGAUAAUGACUGUACCGGAAGAAUAAGCCCCGGCUAACUUCGUG